rnacentral:rRNA from 1 species
UACGUAGGGUGCAAGCGUUGUCCGGAAUUACUGGGCGUAAAGAGCUCGUAGGCGGUUUGUCGCGUCUGCUGUGAAAUCCCGAGGCUCAACCUCGGGUCUGCAGUGGGUACGGGCAGACUGGAGUGCGGUAGGGGAGAAUGGAAUUCCUGGUGUAGCGGUGGAAUGCGCAGAUAUCAGGAGGAACACCGAUGGCGAAGGCAGUUCUCUGGGCCGUAACUGACGCUGAGGAGCGAAAGCGUGGGGAGCGAACAGG